CAGGCGGUUAGUGUAAGACAGAUGUGAAAUACCCCGGGCCGUCAACCUCGGGAACGUAGCAUUAGUUGACUGCAUAGCGUGGAGUACGGCGAGAGGGGGAUGGAAUUCCGCGUGUAGCAGUGAAAUGCGUAGAUAUGCGGAGGAACACCGAUGGCGAAGGCAAUCCCCUGGGCCUGUACUGACGCUCAUGCACGAAAGCGUGGGGAGCAAACAGGAUUAGAUACCCCUGU
rnacentral:rRNA from 1 species